rnacentral:rRNA from 1 species
GGGGGGACCACCCUCCAACCCUAAAUACUACCCAGUGACCGAUAGCGUAUAGUACUGUGAAGGAAAGGUGAAAAGGACCCCGGGAGGGGAGUGAAAGAGAACCUGAAACCUUGUGCCUACAAGCACAUAGAGCCCGUCAAAGGGUGAUAUGGUACUUUUUGUAGAACGGUCCGGCGAGCGAUUGUACGUUGCGAGCUUAAGGUCUUAAGGACUGGAGGCGUAGCGAGAGCGAGUCUAAACAGGGCGUUUAGUAGCGUGCAAUGGGCCCGAAACCGGGUGACCUACCCAUGAUCAGGCUGAAGUGAAAGUAAAAUUUCAUGGAGGGCCGAACCGACCUCCGUUGAAAAGGCGGCGGAUGAAUUGUGGGUAGCGGAGAAAUUCCAAUCGAACUCGGAGAUAGCUGGUUCUCCCCGAAAUAGCUUUAGGGCUAGCCUCAUGUUAGAUAUCCGGAGGUAAAGCACUGAAUGGCCUAGCGUCCGAGAGGAUAGCGAAGCCUAUCAAACUAAGAAUGCCGGAAUAUUGAUGCAUGGGAGUCAGACAGUGUGAGAUAAAUCUCAUUGUCAAAAGGGAAACAGCCCAGAUCUACAGCUAAGGUCCCAAAUUGUAUCUAAGUGGAAAACGAUGUGGAAAUACGCAGACAACCAGGAUGUUGGCUCAGAAGCAGCCACUCAUUUAAAGAGUGCGUAAUAGCUCACUGGUCGAGCGUCUCUGCGCGGAAAAUUUAACGGGGCUAAGAUACAAACCGAAGCUUAGGCUGCACUUUUAGUGCGGGGUAGGGGAGCGUUGUGUAAGCGGAGAAACAGUAGCGAAAGCGGCUGUGGAGUUUACAGAAGUGAGAAUGCCGGAAUGAGUAGCGCGAAUGAUGUGAGAAUCAUCAUGGCCGGAAACCUCAGGUUUUUGGAGGAAGGUUCGUCCGCUCCAAGUUAGGCGGGAGCUAAGGUGAGGCCGAAAGGCGUAGCCGAUGCACAGACGGUAGAGAUUCCGUCCCCACCGAAAGAUUUAAGCGCAGGGACACUUUUAGAAGGUCGGAGCCAGGUGUUGGUUCUGGUAGAGAUCGAGGGAAGAUUAGUACCGAAGUCCGGCUGGAUAAGAGGCGAGAAAAGCUGCGUGUAUAUCUAAGGUGCCCGUACCGCAAACCGACACAGGUAGGUAGGAAGAAGAUUCUAAGGCCAACGGGAGAAGGGUUGUUAAGGAACUCGGCAAGUUGACCCCGUAACUUCGGAAUAAGGGGUGCUCAUGAAAGUGAGCCGCAGAGAAUAGGCCCAGGCAACUGUUUACCAAAAACACAGGUUUGUGCUAAAUCGAAAGAUGACGUAUACGAGCUGACGCCUGCCCGGUGCUGGAAGGUUAAAAGGAGAUGUGCAAGCAUUGAAUUGAAGCCCCAGUGAACGGCGGCCGUAACUAUAACGGUCCUAAGGUAGCGAAAUUCCUUGUCAGGUAAGUUCUGACCC